UAAAGCUGCCUGAUCUACAGACAUGAAACC
rnacentral:piRNA from 1 species